rnacentral:rRNA from 1 species
UGGGGAAUAUUGCACAAUGGGCGCAAGCCUGAUGCAGCCAUGCCGCGUGUGUGAAGAAGGCCUUCGGGUUGUAAAGCACUUUCAGCGAGGAGGAAGGGUAGUGUGUUAAUAGCACAUUGCAUUGACGUUACUCGCAGAAGAAGCACCGGCUAACUCCGUGCCAGCAGCCGCGGUAAUACGGAGGGUGCAAGCGUUAAUCGGAAUUACUGGGCGUAAAGCGCACGCAGGCGGUUUGUUAAGUCAGAUGUGAAAUCCCCGCGCUUAACGUGGGAACUGCAUUUGAAACUGGCAAGCUAGAGUCUUGUAGAGGGGGGUAGAAUUCCCAGGUGUAGCGGUGAAAUGCGUAGAGAUCUGGAGGAAUACCGGUGGCGAAGGCGGCCCCCCUGGACA